GUGUCCCAUGUGCCCGUGCUUCCGUCUUUCUGAUCUUCUGCUGCAUUUGCUCUCUUCCCGCUGCAUUCUCUCUCCCAUUACAUUCUCUUUCUUUUUUUUUGGUUUUUUUGGGAUAAUGUUGCUCUAUCACUUAUCCGCAUCCUCUGGAACCUGGUACAAAAUUUUGUUGACCUCCUCCUUUGUUUUGUUGUAAUAGGCUUUCUUCUUCAUCUCCGGUGAGGUCAGAUCUUCUCUUCGGGUUACCUCUGGACGUGCCAUCUUCACUGUUGGUUGCAGAUCUUGUGCUUUCUUCUUUCUCUCCAGUGAGGUCGGGUCUUCUCUUCAGGUUGCUCUGUAUUCAUGUUUUUCUCCUCCUCUGUAAAAACUUGUUUGAUGCUAAUGGUUCUUGUGUUUUGUUGUGCAAGCAUUUUUUUCAUUGCUUUUAGGAGACUGGUUUGUGAUUUCUUUGGUAGCUGGGAUUUGGACUCUGGAAGCCGUUUGUUUGGCUGCCCCUCUUUACUUGUCUUUCCCUCUCCUCCCCAUCAUCAAAUUCCAGCCACAUCUUCUAAUGUAGCUCUCUACUACUUACAGACGGAAUCCGCAGUAGAAGUUUCUGAACUGAAAAAGGAAAGCUAAUCUCAGGGAGAUAGAUAGAAGAGAAGGUACGAUGGCGUCCAAGAUGCAGAGUAUCGCGGUUCUUCAGACCGAGAAUAACCUUGCAACCGGAGCUUUGUGGAAAUUGUGGCUCCUGUUUUCUCGCGGGAUGCUUGGCGAUGUGUUUGGCAUAUGAUUCAGAAUGAUUUGGUGCAUGGUUGGGGAUUGGAUUUUGCACUAAGGAGAUGUGUGGAGCCUGCACAUGAGAAAAUUGAUGUGGUUGACUCUCAGUGGAUAGUUCAUCAAGUUAUUCCUUCUUUGGGAAGUCAGCUUCAGCUGCGUUGAUUCCAGGGUCAAUCUGAAAAUGGAAAAGCUCCUUGGCAAGGGGUAAGAGAGAGGUGCAGAAGUGAGUGGGCGCAGUUUCAAGAUCGCCUAGCCAAUGCAGAUAAGAAAUAUAUUGAACAGCUUGGGAGGAUUUUGAAUUAGCUAAUUUCUGAACGAGGUAUUUGAACAACAGAAAGUUUUCUCUGAUUGGAAAAGAAAUAUAGAGACAUUGGAGAAAAAUAGUGUAACCAGUCUGAGGACAUUGAUCAAUCUUGGUUCUGAAGUGUACAUACAAGCUGAUGUGAUGGAAACAAUAAAAAAGGCUGUAUCAGUUAUUUUUCCUUAACUGAAUUUGAAAUGUCUUCCACUCCAUGACGACAUUAAUCUCUCACUCCAUGACGACAUUAAUCUCUCCUGGGGCUAAGCAAGGUUUGAUUCCCCUUGCUGUAGUACCUGUCAGAAAACACCUCAGGUGUGAAUAAGGUUUGUGUUUGAGUUAAAAAGUCAAAAAAAAUAAAUAUAUUGAUUUGAGACCAAUAUUCUAUCUUUACACAUUGCUUGUUGUGUAUAGGUUCUGUAACUACUUUGCUGCAAUGGCCUACUGCCCUAACUGGGUAAACUAAUUCAAAUCUUCUUAGUUGAGAUGUUCUUCUUAGAUUGUUUGAUCUCAAUUUGUAGCAUCCUCAGGAUGGAGAUGCCUGUGAUACAAGUACAGAAGUACAGGAUAUGGCUUCUAGCCAAGAAUAUUUUGGCUCCUCUUCCAAUUGGAUUUGCAGUUUUCUUGGUUCAAUUGGCCAGCAUCCCUGUUACGGGCACUGGCAUCGACCCUGCAAGAAGUCUUGGUGUAGCCAUCAUCUUCAAUAGAAACCUUGGAUGGAAUGAUCAUGUAUCUAAGCCUAUAAUGAUUGUGUCUUCAUGUUCCCAGUAUCUAUUCAUAUUCUUAGCUAAAUAACUAUUUUAUCUCUGGUUUUCAGUGGGUCUUCUAGGUUAGACCCUUCAUUGGAGUUGCUCUCGCUGUAGUGUAUCAUUAGAUAGUGAUCAAGGCCAUUCCUUAUAAGAGCCAGGCUUAAAAGGGAUCAAAUUUUUUAUCCUUUUACUGAUCCUCAUCUUGUUAUCUAUACAUUUAUUAAAUGGACAAAGAUAUCAUCUAUUAAUUUUUCU